rnacentral:rRNA from 1 species
GGGUUGUGAGGUUAAGCGACUAAGCGUACACGGUGGAUGCCCUGGCAGUCAGAGGCGAUGAAGGACGUGCUAAUCUGCGAUAAGCGCCGGUAAGGUGAUAUGAACCGUUAUAACCGGCGAUACCCGAAUGGGGAAACCCAGUGUGACUCGUCACACUAUCAUUAACUGAAUCCAUAGGUUAAUGAGGCGAACCGGGGGAACUGAAACAUCUAAGUACCCCGAGGAAAAGAAAUCAACCGAGAUUCCCCCAGUAGCGGCGAGCGAACGGGGAGGAGCCCAGAGCCUGAAUCAGCAUGUGUGUUAGUGGAAGCGUCUGGAAAGGCGCGCGAUACAGGGUGACAGCCCCGUACACAAAAGCGCAUGUGCUGUGAGCUCGAUGAGUAGGGCGGGACACGUGGUAUCCUGUCUGAAUAUGGGGGGACCAUCCUCCAAGGCUAAAUACUCCUGACUGACCGAUAGUGAACCAGUACCGUGAGGGAAAGGCGAAAAGAACCCCGGCGAGGGGAGUGAAAAAGAACCUGAAACCGUGUACGUACAAGCAGUGGGAGCCCCACCACCAAAGCAUUCUCUGGUGUUGAAGGCCCUGCAAAGCAGCAUCGCGGUGGCGGAGCGUCGUUUGCGACGCCCAACACAUAAAACAAGCGGUGAGUGCUUUGGGGUGGGGUGACUGCGUACCUUUUGUAUAAUGGGUCAGCGACUUAUAUUCUGUAGCAAGGUUAACCGAAUAGGGGAGCCGUAGGGAAACCGAGUCUUAAUUGGGCGUUAAGUUGCAGGGUAUAGACCCGAAACCCGGUGAUCUAGCCAUGGGCAGGUUGAAGGUUGGGUAACACUAACUGGAGGACCGAACCGACUAAUGUUGAAAAAUUAGCGGAUGACCUGUGGCUGGGGGUGAAAGGCCAAUCAAACCGGGAGAUAGCUGGUUCUCCCCGAAAGCUAUUUAGGUAGCGCCUCGUGAAUUCAUCUCCGGGGGUAGAGCACUGUUUCGGCUAGGGGGCCAUCCCGGCUUACCAACCCGAUGCAAACUGCGAAUACCGGAGAAUGUUAUCACGGGAGACACACGGCGGGUGCUAACGUCCGUCGUGAAGAGGGAAACAACCCAGACCGCCAGCUAAGGUCCCAAAGUCAUGGUUAAGUGGGAAACGAUGUGGGAAGGCCCAGACAGCCAGGAUGUUGGCUUAGAAGCAGCCAUCAUUUAAAGAAAGCGUAAUAGCUCACUGGUCGAGUCGGCCUGCGCGGAAGAUGUAACGGGGCUAAACCAUGCACCGAAGCUGCGGCAGCGACGCUGAUGCGUUGUUGGGUAGGGGAGCGUUCUGUAAGCCUGUGAAGGUGUGUCGUGAGGCAUGCUGGAGGUAUCAGAAGUGCGAAUGCUGACAUAAGUAACGAUAAAGCGGGUGAAAAGCCCGCUCGCCGGAAGACCAAGGGUUCCUGUCCAACGUUAAUCGGGGCAGGGUGAGUCGACCCCUAAGGCGAGGCCGAAAGGCGUAGUCGAUGGGAAACGGGUUAAUAUUCCCGUACUUGGUGUUACUGCGAAGGGGGGACGGAGAAGGCUAUGUUGGCCGGGCGACGGUUGUCCCGGUUUAAGCGUGUAGGUGUGUGUUCCAGGUAAAUCCGGUUCACUUUAACACUGAGGCGUGACGACGAGGCACUACGGUGCUGAAGCAACAAAUGCCCUGCUUCCAGGAAAAGCCUCUAAGCAUCAGGUAACAUCAAAUCGUACCCCAAACCGACACAGGUGGUCAGGUAGAGAAUACCAAGGCGCUUGAGAGAACUCGGGUGAAGGAACUAGGCAAAAUGGUGCCGUAACUUCGGGAGAAGGCACGCUGACAUGUAGGUGAAGUGAUUUACUCAUGGAGCUGAAGUCAGUCGAAGAUACCAGCUGGCUGCAACUGUUUAUUAAAAACACAGCACUGUGCAAACACGAAAGUGGACGUAUACGGUGUGACGCCUGCCCGGUGCCGGAAGGUUAAUUGAUGGGGUCAGCGCAAGCGAAGCUCCUGAUCGAAGCCCCGGUAAACGGCGGCCGUAACUAUAACGGUCCUAAGGUAGCGAAAUUCCUUGUCGGGUAAGUUCCGACCUGCACGAAUGGCGUAAUGAUGGCCAGGCUGUCUCCACCCGAGACUCAGUGAAAUUGAACUCGCUGUGAAGAUGCAGUGUACCCGCGGCAAGACGGAAAGACCCCGUGAACCUUUACUAUAGCUUGACACUGAACAUUGAGCCUUGAUGUGUAGGAUAGGUGGGAGGCUUUGAAGUGUGGACGCCAGUCUGCAUGGAGCCGACCUUGAAAUACCACCCUUUAAUGUUUGAUGUUCUAACGUGGACCCGUAAUCCGGGUUGCGGACAGUGUCUGGUGGGUAGUUUGACUGGGGCGGUCUCCUCCUAAAGAGUAACGGAGGAGCACGAAGGUUGGCUAAUCCUGGUCGGACAUCAGGAGGUUAGUGCAAUGGCAUAAGCCAGCUUGACUGCGAGCGUGACGGCGCGAGCAGGUGCGAAAGCAGGUCAUAGUGAUCCGGUGGUUCUGAAUGGAAGGGCCAUCGCUCAACGGAUAAAAGGUACUCCGGGGAUAACAGGCUGAUACCGCCCAAGAGUUCAUAUCGACGGCGGUGUUUGGCACCUCGAUGUCGGCUCAUCACAUCCUGGGGCUGAAGUAGGUCCCAAGGGUAUGGCUGUUCGCCAUUUAAAGUGGUACGCGAGCUGGGUUUAGAACGUCGUGAGACAGUUCGGUCCCUAUCUGCCGUGGGCGCUGGAGAACUGAGGGGGGCUGCUCCUAGUACGAGAGGACCGGAGUGGACGCAUCACUGGUGUUCGGGUUGUCAUGCCAAUGGCACUGCCCGGUAGCUAAAUGCGGAAGAGAUAAGUGCUGAAAGCAUCUAAGCACGAAACUUGCCCCGAGAUGAGUUCUCCCUGAGACUUAGAGUCUCCUGAAGGAACGUUGAAGACGACGACGUUGAUAGGCCGGGUGUGUAAGCGCAGCGAUGCGUUGAGCUAACCGGUACUAAUGAACCGUGAGGCUUAACCUUACAACGCCGAAG